rnacentral:rRNA from 1 species
AACCGCGAUAGGCCAAGGUUUCUGGAAUGGACACUGGCUGAAACCUAUAUGGCCCCUGGAUUGGACUGCGGCCGAUCAGGCUGCUGGUGAGGUAAUGGCCCACCAAACCUGUAACCGGUACGGGCUUUGAGAGAAGGAGCCCGGAGAUGGGCACUGAGACAAGGGCCCAGGCCCUAUGGGGCGCAGCAGGCGCGAAAAUUCUGCAAUAGGCGAAAGCUUGACAGAGUUACUCUGAGUGAUGCCCGCUAAGGGCAUCUUUUGGCACCUCUAAAAAUGGUGCAGAAUAAGGGGUGGGCAAGUCUGGUGUCAGCCGCCGCGGUAAUACCAGCACCCCGAGUGGUCGGGACGAUUAUUGGGCCUAAAGCAUCCGUAGCUUGUUCUGCAAGUCUUCCGUUAAAUCCACCUGCUCAACAGAUGGGCUGCGGGAGAUACUACAGGGCUAGGAGGCGGGAGAGGCAAGCGGUACUCAGUGGGUAGGGGUAAAAUCCUCUGAUCCACUGAAGACCACCAGUGGCGAAGGCGGCUUGCCAGAACGCGCUCGACGGUGAGGGAUGAAAGCUGGGGGAGCAAACCGGAUUAGAUACCCGGGUAGUCCCAGCUGUAAACGAUGCAGACUCGGUGAUGGGUUGGCUUUGCGCCAACCCAGUGCCGCAGGGAAGCCGUUAAGUCUGCCGCCUGGGGAGUACGGUCGCAAGACUGAAACUUAAA